UACGAAGGGGGCUAGCGUUGCUCGGAAUCACUGGGCGUAAAGCGCACGUAGGCGGACUCUUAAGUCGGUGGUGAAAUCCUGGAGCUCAACUCCAGAACUGCCUUCGAUACUGAGAGUCUCGAGUCCCGGGGAGAGGGUGAGUGGAACUGCGAGUGUAGAGGUGAAAUUCGUAGAUAUUCGCAAGAACACCAGUGGCGAAGGCGGCUCACUGGCCCGGUACUGACGCUGAGGUGCGAAAGCGUGGGGAGCAAACAGG
rnacentral:rRNA from 1 species